GUUUUUGGGGUCAAUGAAAAAUGGAAUUGAGACAAAUUGACUUCGGUAUGGAGAGUAAUUGGACUUCUAAUAACAGGAGCAACAUGAGAUGACAAGCAUUAAACAAAGUUUAAUAUAAUGUACUGUAUGUGUCCACCAAACAAAACAGAUGUUGUCAAGGCAUUAAAAAUUUAGGAAGAAUAUGGAGAAUGAUUGAACCCACACCAUUAUAGAAUAUUCACAUCAGUCCUUUUUUUGUAGAUAAUUACUAUGAAGCAAGUUUAAAGCUACCAGAAGAUGUUGAACACACAGACCCUGGGACAGAGGAUUCUCCAGCAGAAGUCAAACGAAGAAGAAUAUAAGUUAUCUUUAUUUUUCUGUGUGAGAAAAUUUAUGAUAUCCAACCUAAAUGUAAUAAAGUGCUAGGUAUCUGUAUCUUUUCUGGGUUAAAUUUUCUGUAAACUAUAUAAAAACAUCUAUAUUUUAUCUGCUUAUCUCUCUCUCUGUAUACAGAUCACAAGAACUGCCUAGUACACCAAACAUCUUUUACUCAUUUAUUCCUCACUCCCAAGGGUAUUUGUUGACCCUUGAAAUCUGUCUUGGCAAAAAUGAAGCCAAAGAAAAUACCAGAAAAACUCUCUAGUGCACCGAGGAUCUUACACACAUUGGUUCCUGACUUCCAAGGUGAUUUCGUUCGCUAAGAAGAAACCAAAGCCAAGGAAAGCUGUGUGGACCAGAAGAACUGCCUAGUGGACAGCAGAUUUUUCACUCAUCUCUUCCCAACUCUUAAGGGGCUGUCACUCCAGUCACAUUUAUUUAUUAGAGUGAAAUAACUUUAGAUAAUAUCAAUUUGUCUGUCAUUAACUUGCUACUCGAUACUUUUGAAUUUGUUCACCAAAAAGACUGAUUCACUGAUUCGUCAAGUGACUGUUUUUGUAAAAAGAGUCUUUAAAGGAAUGGUUACCCAAAAAUGAACAUUCUCUCAUUAUUUACUCACUCUCAUGCCAUCCCAGAUGUGUAUGUCUUUCUGUAGGUCUAUACAAUGCAAGUGAAUGCUGAUGAGAACCUUGAAGGUCCAUAAAGGACAUAGAGGCAGCAUAAAAGUAAUCCAUAUGACUCCAGUGGUUAAAUACAUGUCUUCAGAAGUGAUAUGAUAGGUGUGGGUGUGAAAUAGAUCAAUUCUGGUGUAGAAGUGACUUCCACACAUUCAGCCACAUACUGGUUGGGGCUGGUCAAAGGUGGAGAUUUGAAAGGUGACCUGUGAAUAGUUUUGCCUGUCAAUCAUUUUGCAUGUUCUCAUCAUCUAGUAGUUGAAGUGGAACAUUCAGGUUUAAUGUCAUAAUUAGAUUCAUAACAGUUGUCAGCUGAGGGUGCUAUUUUGCUACUGUUAUGUUUAACAACCGUGAGAAGACCCACUGCUUAACACUAUUUUUGAAAGGCGGUGUUUUGGGAAAAGGGGGCGUGUCUAGUUUAACAGCUCAUGUCUCGUGGAAGUUCCAGAACGGCUAAAAUUGUUUACAUCUCCUUUAAAUCAUUAAUUAGUUUAAUUUUAGUUUUAUUUUUGUUUGAUUUUCCACAGCACCUUAAAGUAAAAACAAAUCUGUCAAAUUCAAAAUGUUCAAGAUGCUUAGAUGAUAAAAAAUAAAGUUGUAUAUCCAAUGUUAACAUGAAAUAAAACUACCUAAUUACGUUAAACAUGAAUGCUCUUAUGAAAAUCGAGAGUUCAUGGCCAAUUUUCAUAUGCAAAUGAGUUUGCGGCAAACUUGUCCAUUGCUGCCAAAGAUUGGCCAGAGGUUCACCACUACCGGCGAAGAGCUGCAAACUUCUGGCAAACAUUUGCGGUGAAUAAAAAGCUCAUUUGCAUGUGAAAAUAACGAGCGGCAAAUUUGUGGAAAGUUUGCGACUAGUUUAGAUUUUUUUG